rnacentral:lncRNA from 1 species
ACCAUCCAUCUUUAGACAUCUGACGCUGAUCUAGGGACUCUUCGAUUGUUUUAUCAUGCUUCCCUUCCAGAACUCCCUGAAGAGUUAUCACAGCAUCUCUCGUUUUCUUGAGGAUACUAUUCUCAUCUUCGAUUUCCAAGCGAGUAAGGUCAUUUUGCGAUGAAGUAAGGCUAACAGCAAGUGCAAACUGGGCAGCAGCAGCCCAUCGAGAAGAUGCCAGCCAUUUCCUCUGUUUAUCCAACUGCCUAUUCUCUUCUCUGCCUACACUGUCCUCUCCCCCUCCAAGUGCUAGACUUCGCAAGUAUUGUGCAUUAG